UGAGUUAUCACUUCGCUCUAUGGUUGCUGGUGCUGAGAAAUGCCUCGAUGACAUUUUCAUUGUUAAAAAUGGACUAUGGAAACAAGAUCAGUCAACAUGUGUGAGUGCACCUUCACCAAUCCCACAAAUGCCUCUGCUCUCACGAAUUUAUUACCCUUGGGAGAGCCUCAGCAAGACAGUACUUGAUGCAUUGGAAGCAGACAAUGUUCUCCUUCCCUCUCAACGACAGGAAGUGGCACACAUGGCAGCGUCAUGGCCCUGCAUAUCCAUUGAAGGCACCUGGUUGGUAUCAUUGAGAACGAAGGGAGCCAGCAGGCAUAAAAAAAUCAAGAGGGCUACAUACAUAAAUGCGUGAGGCAAUGAGGGCCGCAGAUGAAUAUAGC